CUUUUUCUUAAGAGGUGAAGUCAUUUGCUGUUUUUUUAUUUUUUGGUACGCUGCUUUGGUACAAUAACAAAAUAGUGGGGUAUUGGCUAUGGGAGGCUUUGAUUGUCUCAGGCAUCAGCUUGACAUUCCGUAGAUGGGGGUAGUUUUUAUAGCCUGUAAUACAGAGCAUACUAAAUGGCUAUUUGGAGUCAGUCGUGCAUUUAAUAUGUCUCGAACAUUUUAAAUUACUUCUAUUCCCAUGUUACUUUUGGUAGAAGUGUUUCCUAAAGAAAACCACUCCUUAAUCUUAGCUCUCCCUGCAGAAUUUUGUGCACUCUAUAACAUCUUUUGUCAUGAUAGUCCAGUUUUCCUAGUAAUUUUGUUAACAUGCUGUGAAAGGUUGAAAACUUGAGUGUGUAGUGUAUGUGGUACUAAAUUGUGAAUUAGUGGUACUAAUGAUGUAACAGGUGUCAACAUUUGAAGAUAUUCGUACUUGAUAUCCUGUUAAGGGAAAUUUGCCUCCAAAUUUUAAGCUGGAAAGUCACGCGAAUAACCAUUUAGAAAAGAAUCACAACUAUGUGAUUUCUUUUUUCUUUUUUUUUAAAGAUUGGCACCUGAGCUGACAUCUGUUGCCAAUCUUCUUUUUUUCUUCUUCUUCUUCUCCCUGAAGCCCCUCAGUACAUAGUUGUAUAUUUUAGUUGCAGGCCCUUUUGGUUGUGUUGUGUGGGAUGCCACCUCAGCAUGGCCUAAUGAGCGGUGCCAUGUCCACGCCCAGGAUCCAAACCAGUGAAACCCUGGGCCACCGAAGUGGAGCACAUGAACUUAACCACUUGGCCAUGGGGCUGAUCCCACAACUCUGUGAUUUCUUAGAUUUUUGGUACAUAUGUUAAGAAUUGUGUACAGAUUGAAAUGUUUGUGUACUGAUCCUCAAAACAACCAAUAAAAUCUCAAUUAUGAAAGAAAAUAAGAACAUUAAAAUCAUAUCAAGCAUCUUUUCUGACAACAAUGCUAUGAAACUAGAAAUUGACUACAAGAAAAAAGCUGGGAAAGUCACAAAUGUGUGGAGACUAGACAACAUGUUACUGAACAACCACUGGAUCAAUCAAGAAAUCAAAGGAGAAAUAAAAAAUACCUGGAGACAAAUGAAAAUGAAAACAGAACAUACCAAGUGUUACAGGAUGCAGCAAAAGUGGUACUAAGAGGGAAAUUUAUAGCAAUACAGGCCCCCCUCAACAAACAAAAAUCUCAAAUAAGUAAUCUUAACUAUGCCUAACAGAAGUAAAAAAAAGAAGAACAAAGUCCAAAGUCAGCAGAAGGGAGGAAAUAAUAAAAAUUAGAGCAGAAAUAAAUGAAAUAGAGACAAAAAAAAAAAAAACCAAUAGAAAGGAUCAAUGAAACUAUGAGCUGUUUCUUCAUAAAGAUACAAACAAAAUUGAUAAACCCUUAGCCAAAGUCACUAAGAAAAAAUGAAAGAAGACUCAAAUAAAUAAAAUUAAAAUGAAAGAGGAGAAAUUACAACAGAUACCACAGAAAUACAAAGGAUUAUAAGAGAAUACCAUGAAAAACUAUAUGCCAGCAAAUUGGACAACUUAGAAUAAAUGGAUAAAUUCUUAGACUCAUACAAACUCCCAAAACUGAAUCAAGAAGAAAUAGAGAAUCCGAAUAGACCAAUCACAAAUAAAGAGAGAGAAAUAGUAGUGAAAAACCUCCAAAAAACAAAAGUCUAGAUCAGAUGGCUUCUCUGGACAAUUCUACCAAACAUUCAAAGAAGAUUUUUUACCUAUCCUUCUCAAACUAUUCCAAAAAAUUGAAGAAGAUGGAACACUUCCUAACUCAUUCUAUGGUACCAGCAUUACCCUGUUACCAAAACCAGACAAGGACAACACAAAGAAGGAAAAUUACAGGCCAAUAUCGCAGAUGAACAUAGAUACAAAAAUCCUCAACAAAAUCGUGGCAACUCGAAUACAGCAAUACAUCAAAAACAUCAUACACUAUGAUCAAGUGGGAUUCACAAGCAGGGAUGGUUCAACAUCUGCAAAUCAAUCGUGUGAUACACCACAUUAACAAAAUGAGGAACAAAAACCACAUGAUCAUCUCAAUAGAUGCAGAGAAAGCAUUCGACAAGAUCCAACAUCCAUUUAUGAUAAAAAUUCUCAGUCAAGGGGCCGGCUCCGUAGCCGAGUGGUUAAGUUCGUGCACUCUGCUGUGGUGGCCCAGGGUUCGGAUCCUGGGAGUGGACAUAGCACUGCUCAUCAGGCCACAUUGAGGCGGCAUCCCACAUCCCACAACUAGAAUGACCUGCAACUAAGAUAUACAACUGUGUACAGGGGGGGGUUGGGGAGAUAAAGCAGAAAAGAAAAAAAAGAUUGGCAACAGUUUUUAGCCCAGGUGCCAAUCUUUGAAAAAAAGAAAAAAAGGAAGAUUGGCAACAGUUGUUAGCCCAGUGCCAAUCCUUAAAAAAAAAAAAAUUCUCAGUCAAAUGGGUAUAGAAGGAAAGUACCUCAGCAUAAUAAAGGCCAUAUAUGACAAACCCACAGCCAACAUCAUACUUAACAGUGUAAAACUGAAAGCCGUCCCUUUGAGAACAGGAACAAGACAAGGGUGUCCACUCUGACCACUCUUAUUCAACACAAUAUUGGAGGUUUUGGCCAGAGCAAUUAGGCAAGAAAAAGAAAUAAAAGGGAUCCAAACUGGAAAGGAAGAAGUGAAACUCUUGCUGUUUGCAGAUGACAUGAUUCUAUAUAGAGAAAACCCUAAAGAAUGCACCAGAAAACUAUUAAAAAUAAUAAACAACUACAGUAAAGUUGCAGGGUAAAAAAUCAACUUACAAUGAUCAGAUGGAUUUUGACACACUAUUAACUAACCAGCAGAAACAGAAGUCUAGGAUACAAUCCCAUUUACAAUCUCAACAAAAAGAAUAAAAUAUCAGGGCCAGUCCAGUGGUAUAGUGGUUAAGUUCAGCAUGCUCCACUUUGGUGGCCCAGGUUAACGGGUUUGGAUCCCAGGCAUGGACCUACAUCACUUGUCAGCCAUGCUGUGGCAGGGACCCACAUAUAAGGUGGAGGAAGAUUGGCACAGAUGUUAGCUCAGGGCUAAUCUUCCUCAGGAAAAAAAAAAGUAGCAAUAAAUUUAACCAAGAAAGUGAAAGACCUAUAUACUGAAAACUAUAAGACAUCAUUGAAGGAAAUCAAAGAAGACAUAAGGAAAUGGAAAGAUAUUCCAUGCCCAAGGAUUGGAAGAAUAAACAUAGUUAAAAUGUCCAUACUACCUAAAGCAAUAUACAGAUUCAAUGUAAUCCCAAUCAGAAUCCCAAUGACGUUUUUCACUGAAAUAGAACAAAGAAUCCUAAAAUCUGUAUAGAACAACAAAAGACCCCAAACAGCCAAAGCAAUCCUGAGAAAAAAGAACAAAGCUGGCGGCAACACAAUCUCUGACUUCAAAAUAUAGUACAAAGAUAUAGUAAUCAAAACAGCAUGGUACCGAUACAAAAACGGACACACAGAUCAAUGGAGCAGAAUGGAAAGCCCAGAAAUAAAACCACACACCCAUAAACAGCUGAUCUUCGACAAAGAAGCCAAGAACAUGCAAUGGAGAAAGAAAAGACACUUCAAUAAAUGGUGUUGGGAAAACUGGACAGCCACAUGCAGAAGAAUGAAAGUAGAGGGGCCGGCCCAUGGCAGAGUGGUUGAGUUGGCACGCUCCGCUUUGGCAGCCCAGGGAUUUGCUGGUUCAGACCCUGGGCGUGGACAUGGCACCAUGCUGAGGUGGUGUCCCACAUGCCACAACCAGAAGGACCCACAACUAAAAAUAUACAACAAUGUACUGGGGGGAUUUGGGGAGAAAAAGGAAAAAAAAUUUAAAAUCUUAAAAAAAAAAUAAACAACAGAUAGAUUAUUAAUAACAACUGCUCAGAAUGUGGCACAGAAUUAGGAGUUGUGCUAGUAGAUUGUUGAAAGCCCAGACUGAAGAACAGCACCUGACAUUUGUCUUUCUCCUCCCCAUUCUCUGAUCUUUUUCUCAAAGACCCAGAAGACCUCUCCAACCACGGAGCCUUUUAUUAGUCUCCUGGGGUUGCUGCAACAACUCAGGGGCUAAAAACAACAGAAAUGUAUUCCCUUGCAUGUCUGGCGUCUAGAUGUCUGAAAUUAAGGUGGGCAGGUCUGUGCUCCCUGUGGAGGUGGUAGAGAAGAGUCCUUCCUUGUCUCUUCCAGCUUCUGGUGGCUGCCCACACCUUGACAUUCCUCCGUUUAUGGAUGCACUAUUUCAGUCUCUUUCUCCAUUGUCACAUGGCCUUCUUCCCUCUGUCUCGGUGUUCCAAAUCUCCCUCCUCUUAUGAGGACCCCAGCUGUUGGAUUAGGGCCCACCCUACUCCAUUAUGACCUCAUCUCAACAUUAUGACAUCUGGAAAGACUCUAUUUCCAAUUAAGGUGACAUUCACAGGUGUGAGGGUGAAGGAUGGGUAUGUUAAGACUUCAGCAUAUUUUUUGGAGGGGCACAAUUCCACCCACCCUAGGGCCCUCUCCUAGGCCUUUCUCGUAGGACAAUGCCCAAUGCACUACCUACACCUAGUGUUCUAAAGUGGAGUGCAGGCCGCUUAGGAUGUUGGAAUAAGUAUUCUGGUUUGUAUUUGUGUUUAUUUUUAUUUAAAUUUGAAAUUAAACUCAACUCAUCGUUAGCAUGUGGAGUUUUGACCCUGGCACCCUGUCAUUUGUACAUUAGUCUUCAGUGUCUCAUGUGCUAUUCUGAGGAAAGGGUAGGAGUUCCUGACUUGGAGGCGUUGAGAGUGGCACCAUCGCUCCUUAGAAUAUUGGGUCAAUUGCAAAUGACACAAACGUGUCACUAGAUCUGUAGCUUGUGUUGAUGAAAGCAACCCUUACGAAAUCAACCUAUGGCUUUGAAAAGAGUGCCCCACAGCUGCAAUUCUCAAGUGCCUUCUGGGGACCCACGGGUGAUCUGUGAGCCCCGAAUACAUAGCCCUAGACAUUGUGGGCCUUUUGGCACUCUCAGUCUGUCACGAAUACACACUGGAGUUUUCCAGAGGUUCCAUGACGUGUGAUGAUGUCAUUCCUCAGCCACAAAUAGAAUGUGUGCUUGUGGAUUCUUAUUCUUUGGCAGCCGGAAUUCUGGAUAUGAAUCAGGUCCUGCCAACAAGAUGUAGUAAGGAGAGGUGAAAGGUGGAGAUGAGACGGAAAGCGUCUUCUCGUGGCUGAGAGGGCUGAGGUGGUGUGUUCACGGUGGAGUCCCACGUCUAGCCCCCAGCUUCACAACUACACGGCGGUUCUAGCAGCUUCCUGAUCUUUGCAUUGCACGUCCAGGGAUGUGAUCUUGAACCAAAGUCCGGUGGCAGCCUCUGACAUCUGCUCUUCCAACCCUUUCAAUGAGUUUCUUAGUACCUUAUUCCCUGUAUUAAAUCCCUUUUUGUUUAAUAUGUUUAGAGUGGUUUCUAUUCUUAAACCAAUCACUGGCUGAUAAACAUCUUAUUUUUUUUUAAGGACAAAAAAACCUUUCCCAAAGUUCUCUAGAAGAGAUCCCUUCGUGUCUCAUCGAGAACUGGGUCACACACUCACCCCUAAGGGCCCACCAUGAUUGGUUUAAACUCCUAACGUGGUCUGGAAGCCCUGGAGAUCCUUUUAGGUAGUUCAAACUGUUUUCAUUUUUCAUAUUUUCCUGUUCCUUCUCAUUCUCUCAGGAGUGGAUGGUGGGGUCUUCCAGAGGCUGCAUGACCUGGGAUGG
ensembl:lncRNA